AAAGCGGCGCACGGGUGAGUAACACGUGAGUUACCUAUCCUCGAGAUCGGGAUAACAUUCCGAAAGGAUUGCUAAUACCGAAUAAGACCACUAAGUGGUAAAAGAUGGCCUCUCCAUGGAAGCUGUCACUUGAGGGCGGGCUCNCGUCCCAUUAGCUAGUUGGUAAGGUAACGGCUUACCAAGGCGACGAUGGGUAGCUGGUCUGAGAGGACGACCAGCCACACUGGGACUGGAACACGGCCCANACUCCUACGGGAGGCAGCAGUGAGGAAUCUUGCGCAAUGGGGGCAACCCUGACGCAGCGACGCCGCGUGUGUGAUGAANGCUUUCGGGUCGUAAAGCACUGUCGAGAGGGAAGAAUGGUUUUUAGGUUAAUAGCCUAAUCGCUUGACGGUACCUCCAAAGGAAGCACCGGCUAACUCC
rnacentral:rRNA from 1 species